UGGCGGCAUGCCUAUCAUGCAAGUCGUACGGACAGGGUAGGACCACUACUCUCGUCAGCCGACGACUGAUUAACAACUCGUUAAUCACCCUUUCAGAAGGGGAUGACUUCCCGACAAGAUGCCCAAUACUCCCUCUUGCCCUCUGUCGCUAACGGCACCAGUGAAAACCACGCUAUCACACGCUCCGGCUCGCUCACGGGCUCUCAUCCUAUCAGGUAGGUAACGGCCUCAUGACCUAACAAUCCAAUGACGGCCAGAUAGGCUUAAAGGACGAUCUGCCACUGAGACACUGACACAACUCCCACACCACUACGCAGGACAGCAUCUUCCAAUCUGGGCGCAUGCCUGAUAGACCUAACCCGCAUUACCGAAUACGGCCUUCAGCCCUUCAAGCUCUAUCCCUCUGUACGAUGACACGAUGGGACUCGCGGCUGAUCCCUUCCAGUCCUGACAGUCCCCUCCAAACAACGUACCGCUAACUACGUGCCAACAUCCGCGGCAAU
rnacentral:rRNA from 1 species